rnacentral:rRNA from 1 species
GAGCACGUAGGUGGGUUUGUAAGUCAGAUGUGAAAGCCUUCUGUUCAACGGAAGAAUUGCAUCUGAAACUGCGAGUCUUGAGUGUAGGAGGGGAGAAUGGAACUUCUGGUGGAGCGGUGAAAUGCGUAGAUAUCAGAAGGAACGCCGGCGGCGAAAGCGAUUCUCUGGCCUAUUACUGACACUCAGUGUGCGAAAGCUAGGGGAGCAAACGGGAUUAGAUACCCCGGUAGUCCUAGCCAUAAACGAUGGGCACUAAGUAGAGGGAAUUACCGAUAUUCUCUCUGCCGUAGCUAACGCAUUAAGUGCCCCGCCUGGGGAGUACGGCCGCAAGGCUAAAACUCAAAAGAACUGACGGGGGCUCGCACAAGCGGUGGAGCAUGUGGCUUAAUUCGAUGCAACGCGAAAAACCUUACCGGGGCUUGACAUGGUAGAAGUAGGAACCCGAAAGGGUAACGAACGGUAUCCAGUCCGUAGCUAUCACAGGUGUUGCAUGGCUGUCGUCAGCUCGUGUCGUGAGACGUUGGGUUAAGUCCCCUAACGAGCGAAACCCUUGUUUUUAGUUACCAGCGGGUUGUGCCGGGUACUCUAGAAAGACUGCCGUCGUCAAGACGGAGGAAGGUGGGGAUGACGUCAAGUCAUCAUGGCCCUUAUGCCCCGGGCUGCACACGUGCUACAAUGGUCGGUACAAACGGAUGCGAAGCCGAGAGGUGAAGCGAAUCC